rnacentral:rRNA from 1 species
UACGGAGGGUGCGAGCGUUGUUCGGAAUCACUGGGCGUAAAGCGCGUGUAGGCGGCCUGCUAAGUCUGAUGUGAAAGCCCGAGGCUCACCCUCGGAAGCGCAUUGGAAACUGGCAGACUGGAGUCCCGGAGAGGAGGGUGGAAUUCCUGGUGUAGCGGUGAAAUGCGUAGAUAUCAGGAGGAACACCGGUGGCGAAGGCGGCCCUCUGGACGGUGACUGACGCUGAGACGCGAAAGCGUGGGGAGCAAACAGG